UAAUACAGAGGGUGCGAGCGUUGUCCGGAAUCACUGGGCGUAAAGGGCGCGUAGGCGGCUUCUCAAGCGUGCGGUGAAAGCUCGGGGCUCAACCCCGAGUCGGCCGUGCGAACUGGGAAGCUGGAGCACGGUAGAGGCACAUGGAAUUCCGGGUGUAGCGGUGGAAUGCGUAGAGAUCCGGAGGAACACCGGUGGCGAAGGCGGUGUGCUGGGCCGUUGCUGACGCUGAUGCGCGACAGCGUGGGGAGCAAACAGGAUUAGAUACCCUGGUAGUCCACGCCGUAAACGAUGGGCACUAGGUCCUUGGGGGAGCGACCCCCUGAGGGCCGUCGCAAACGCAUUAAGUGCCCCGCCUGGGGAGUACGGCCGCAAGGCUG
rnacentral:rRNA from 1 species